UGCCAGACUCCUACGGGAGGCAGCAGUGAGGAAUAUUGGUCAAUGGGCGCGAGCCUGAACCAGCCAAGUCGCGUGAGGGAAGACGGUCCUAUGGAUUGUAAACCUCUUUUGUCGGGGAGCAAAAGACGCCACGCGUGGCGUUCCGAGAGUACCCGAAGAAAAAGCAUCGGCUAACUCCGUGCCAGCAGCCGCGGUAAUACGUAGGGGGCAAGCGUUAUCCGGAUUUACUGGGUGUAAAGGGAGCGUAGACGGCGACGCAAGUCUGAAGUGAAAUGCCAGUGCUCAACACUGGAACUGCUUUGGAAACUGUGUAGCUAGAGUGCAGGAGAGGUAAGUGGAAUUCCUAGUGUAGCGGUGAAAUGCGUAGAUAUUAGGAGGAGCACCAGUGGCGAAGGCGGCUUACUGGACUGUAACUGACGUUGAGGCUCGAAGGCGUGGGGAGCAAACAGGAUUAGAUACCCGAGUA
rnacentral:rRNA from 1 species